UGAAAUAAGGGUUUGAACUCUGGUUUGGGGUUUUAGUUCUCGUUUCUUUAUUUUAUCCACCUCAUCUCCAACUUUUUCAUCCUAGUUCAUUCUCUUCUGCAGCUUUGUGUUCCAUUUUUAUAUCUUCUUUCAAGUUAUGAAAGAUACCAGUCCUUUGAAAUGUUCCCUUAAGCCUUGCUUAUAGCCUUUUUAGGAGUAUGUUCUUAUUAAGUUUUCCAGAUGCUCUUUCCAUUUCCUUUUGUUACACCGUUUUUGUUUUUCAUAUUCUCUUCAUUGCUUUCUUCAUUUUUGCUGCUAGUUUCUUUACUGAUCUUCAAAGAAGGCAGGAUUUGUUCAGACAGAGAAGCCACUUAUCGCCACAGAGGAUUUUGGAUCCUUUUGGCCCUGCCUUCUGUCUGCCUAUAGAAUGGAAGAACUGUUUCUUCAGAUCUCAACUCUGAAAACAUGUCUGAGGUCAGACUGCCUAGAUCUGAAUGCUAGCUGCGAUAGCAUGUUCUAGUAGUGCUGAAGUUUGAAACUGAAUGCUAUGCUCAAAGUCAAGUAAAAUGAAAGUUCUGCUUUUAAAGGGGGAAGAAACUUACAGGAGACAAAUGGGGAAAGCAAACGAUUCUAAGUGGGAUAGGUGUAGAACAUCAUAGCUAUGUAUGGGUUCAAGAUUAUAUGAGUGGAAUAUAUUAUCAUGGAUUCUUCUUCUUUUUUU
rnacentral:lncRNA from 1 species